rnacentral:misc_RNA from 1 species
GAAAUGCGAUAAUUAAUGUGAAUUGCAGAAUUCAGUGAAUCAUCGAGUCUUUGAACGCACAUUGCGCCCCCCUGGUAUUCCGGGGGGCAUGCCUGUCCGAGCGUCAUUGCUGCCCUCAAGCACGGCUUGUGUGUUGGGCUUCCGUCCCUGGCAACGGGGACGGGCCCAAAAGGCAGUGGCGGCACCAUGUCUGGUCCUCGAGCGUAUGGGGCUUUGUCACCCGCUCCCGUAGGUUCAGCUGGCAGCUAGCCUCGCAACCAAUCUUUUUAACCAGGUUGACCUCGGAUCAGGUAGGGAUACCCGCUGAACUUAAGC